UACAGAGGUCCCAAGCGUUGUUCGGAUUUAUUGGGUUUAAAGGGUGCGUAGGCGGCCUGUUAAGUCAGGGGUGAAAGACGGUAGCUCAACUAUCGCAGUGCCCUUGAUACUGAUAGGCUUGAAUGUACUAGAGGUAGGCGGAAUGUGUCAAGUAGCGGUGAAAUGCAUAGAUAUGUCACAGAACACCAAUUGCGAAGGCAGCUUACUAUGGUAUGAUUGACGCUGAGGCACGAAAGCGUGGGGAUCAAACAGG
rnacentral:rRNA from 1 species